rnacentral:rRNA from 1 species
UACGGAGGGUGCAAACGUUGCUCGGAAUCAUUGGGCGUAAAGCGCACGUAGGCGGAUCGUUAAGUCGGGGGUGAAAUCCUGGAGCUCAACUCCAGAACUGCCUUCGAUACUGGCGAUCUUGAGUCCGGAAGAGGUGAGUGGAACUCCUAGUGUAGAGGUGGAAUUCGUAGAUAUUAGGAAGAACACCAGUGGCGAAGGCGGCUCACUGGUCCGGUACUGACGCUGAGGUGCGAAAGCGUGGGGAGCAAACAGG